rnacentral:piRNA from 1 species
UCCCUGAAGACACCUUACACAGACUGGCUA